UCGCUAAACAGUACAACGUGUCAAGCAAA
rnacentral:piRNA from 1 species